GGGGAAACAUCCUUUUUUCCCUAGUCGCUUCACGCUACAAAAAAACCCGUUGAACUUAACAUAUAGCACAAAAGCUUACAAAGUAUUGAUAACUAAAAUAUCUUGCUGUAUUUUUUAGGAGCGAACACUUUGCCACCAACAACUACUCAAAUGCCAACAACAUCAGGAACUACUACUUUGCCACCAACAACAACCCGGUUACCACCAACGACAGGGAGUUGUCAAGACAGAGACAACAGAUGUAAAUAUUGGCCUCGUUUCUUCUGCCUAUUCUACAGAUACGUCAGA